CCGGCACGGCGCCGCUGCCAUGCUUUGGCGCCCACGAUAGUGGUUUGCCUCGACCUGGUCACUUUUGGCCGGUGUUGGCCAGUUUUGGCUGUAUUUCUGCAUAAAAAUAUGUUAGGGGAAAUCACAAAAAAAUCGAACCUAUUGGCGACGAAGACCUCUGGGUGCAACGGCUCUGCUGGUCCUCCUUCACGGCUGAGGCUCUUUCUUUAGUUACCCUGCAUAAAAAAAGGACGGUGAAUACAAUAACCAAAAAAUUACGUGAAACGGGAAUCGAGAAGGAGCUCAUCGGAGGGAUUUUGGGGUUUUCGUCGUCGUGGCUCCAUCGAGCUUUGCCCACGAUUUUUAGUUCACCCGU
rnacentral:lncRNA from 1 species